rnacentral:rRNA from 1 species
GACGUAGGGUGCGAGCGUUGUCCGGAUUUAUUGGGCGUAAAGAGCUCGUAGGCGGCUUGUUGCGUCGACUGUGAAAACCCGCGGCUUAACCGCGGGCUUGCAGUUGAUACGGGCAGGCUAGAGUUCGGUAGGGGAGACUGGAAUUCCUGGUGUAGCAGUGAAAUGCGUAGAUAUCACUCGGAAGGCCAACGGCGAAGGCAGGUCACUGGUGCGCAACUGACGCUGAGGCACGAAAGCGUGGGGAGCAAACAGG